GAAUAUUUAUUUUUUUAAUCAUUUUUUAAGUUCCUUUUCACAUAUUUUCAUUUACUUAAUUGUAGCUCAGAUUAUCUACCAUUUUUAUUAAUUUCAUUUUUUAAUAUUUCACUUUUAUUUAUUUGUUUAUUUUAUUUAUUUUUAGGGGAGGGGAUUUCAUAGUGACUUCUAAAGUAUUUUAUGAAUAAGAAGAAUUUUAUUUAAAUCUGUGAAUCAUCUUCUAAUUGCUUGUUUUAAAAAUUUGCACAGUUGUCAUUAUCUACUUGGCUGUACUCGAAGAAUAAUGAAUGAUUGGAUGAAGUUAACUUCUACGGCAUUCUGAUUAACCAUUGAUAUAUGCAAAGAAGUUACUCUUCAUGGAAACUAAGGUCCUGCGGUGAAGGGAAAUAAACCUUCGCAUCCAGUGUGUGGGGAAAGCUAAGUGGCUAUUUUUGUAUUUAGCCCAGCAUUUCACAACACAUCUUGUGUUGUUGGACACUUCUGUCCCCAACCUUUUUAUAAAGGUUCGGCGAAAUGCUUGUUUAUUAAUUGUUUUUUUUUUUUUUUUUUUUUUUUUUAAAAACAUGGUGCCCAAGUUUAUCUUAUUUUUCUUUAUUUAUUUACAUGUUGAAGGCAGUUAUCAUUAUAACAUAUGCUUAAUAGAUGUAAUACAUUUUAACAGAAGAUAUGUAGACAUUAUGUGUGUUAAUUUAUUAAUUUUGUUUCUAGGGCAUUCAUUUUAAUUUUGCUUUGUUAUAUUUUUAAAACUGAAUUCCAUAAGGAAAUCUGGAAGAAUUUUUAAUUAAAGCUAAAACCAAUUACCUUUCAACACAUUCAUUCAUUUUAAAAAAAAAAGAAAAGAAAAAUGUUAUAUUGUUUGGUUAUUUUCUUAAAAUUUUUUAAUUUGAUUGAAAAAUGAAUAUAUUCCACCUCAUUAAAAACUAUAUGAACUAUUUUUGAAGAUUUGCUUAAGAAAUAUUUAAUAGAAAGUAAAUUCCAAAAAAAAAAAGCAAUAUUUGUAUCAAUGAAAAAUUAAUACAAUAUAAUAUAUCCAAUAGCCAAAAAUAAUAUAUCAAAUUGCAAGAAAAAAAGUUUAAUUUAAUCUUAAAGUUAAUGAUAAAAACUUAUAGCAUUGGCAUUUCAAAAGUGCAUCAUGUAUUAAAUUUUUUUCUCCAGUAUAUAUCAAUUGUAAUCACUAAUUUAUUUAAUUUCGUUGUUAAUAUUUAAAUUCACCACUAAUUUAAUGCAAUUCCUUUUAGAUCUUUCAAUAUUUAGAGAAAAAUAAUAACAUGUCUUUAUAGGGAUAGAAACUUUCUAAAAAUGCCUGAUUUUUAAUUCAGAGGAGAUUUCCUCUACUGUUCCAUGUGAUAAUAAAGCACAUUCACUUCUAAUCUAAAUUUGCAAAGGGAAAAGGUUUUAUUGUAAAUACAGUUGCAGAGAUAUUAGUGGUGAAAUUUUAAAGAUUUUUCCACUAUAGGAAAGUUUUUGAAAGCCUAAAAAUUUGAAAAUAAAUGUUAAUUAUUGAGAAAUAAAAGUAGUGUACUUUAAUUUUUAAAAAACUCAUGAAUAUCAUAAUAAGAAAAAAAAAUACAAUAUCUUUAUUUUGAACUUCACACUUCUUUUUGAUUUUGUUUAGCCACAGUUAUGUAUUUUUAUGAAUAAGAAUAAAAAAGUCACAUAAAAUAUUAAGGGAUAUCAGGGUUCAAUUUUAAUUUAAUUGUUAAAGAAUUAAAAACUGUUCAUUUAUAAUUCUUAAUUAAAAUAUACUUAUAACAGUUCCAAAGUCUUAUUUUUUUUUAUUAUUUAAUCAUCAAGUUAUUAAACAUUAAUUUAAAAAGCAAAAUUUCAGACUAAAUUAAGACAAAGCUUCACUAUGCUGUGUAACAUAGUACGAGUUAAGCCCUCUUCCUCUUAAUAGAGCUACAAUGCAAGAGCUGCCACUGGAUACUUCUACUAUUCAUAAUAUAUUUUUUAUCCAAUGAUACUAAAAACAAAUAUAUAUUAAAUACAAACAUAAUAUUGGAAAAUAUAUCUUUUUGUGUUUCAAAUAGAAGUAACAUUUUUAGCUUUCCAGGAGUAUUUAACGUAUGAAUGAAAACCAAAGCAAAGAACUGUAUUCAGAUCAAGAAUUGGUUGUUUGUGCCUCCGAUGCCGAUGAUCUUCUGAAGAGGACAUGAAUUAUGUAACAAAAUUGAAUAGAAUAUUGUUGUGAAUCUCAUAUGAGUAAGAUUUGUAUACUUUUAUGUAUUUUUUCACUAAUUUUUCACUAAUCCACCAUUGAAGAGUUUGUAAGCGAAAAAGCGAUCCUGUGAAUAUAUCAUUAAAUUUUUUUAUUAUA